GGCGAGGUAGCUCAGUCGGUCAGAGCAUGCGGCUCAUAUCCGCAGAGUCGGGGGUUCAAGUCCCUCCCUCGCUACCA
rnacentral:tRNA from 1 species